GCUCCCGUGGCCCAAUGGCAGAGGCGAAGGGUUUAAACCCCUUUUAGGUGUCGGUUCGAGUCCGACCGGGAGCAC
rnacentral:tRNA from 1 species